rnacentral:lncRNA from 1 species
UUCUAACAUCUAUAUUUGGAGUUCUUUGGGGUUUUCUAAUACGUUUAAGCUUAAACGUGACAUUAGCGAUUACCCUAACAACACACAACAUUCCAGGAAUGGACUACCAAAGUUCUAUCAAUAUUUGAAUGUCCUGGACAUUUAGGGAACAUUCGGUGAACAUCUGAUUAAAUUAUUCGUGGAAUGUUACCAUAAGACAUUCUGUGAACAUACUACCAAUGUUCCUAUAUGUUCAUUUUCAAAUUCACGGCGCAUGUAUUUGUGCAUGGUGCUUAGAGAGGGCAUCACGUGACUAAAAACGACCAAUGACCUCACUUCAGACUUCGGUGCUUCGGCCAUCUUGACAUGCAUCUUGGCCUUGGCCACCUUGCCGUGCGUGAUCGUUGUUUGUUUUUAUUUGUGCUUUUUAAGAAUAUUUUUUAAUUCGGAUACUUUUAUAAUAACUUUAAUAGUAUUAUUAAUAUAGUGCAUAAAAUCAGUUGGAGUAGCAGAAGCAAUGUAGAUAAAAAAUCUGCAGGAAUAAUGUUUCAAAGCUUUCCAGAAGAUCCUGCAAAGAAGGCAUGAAGUAUUGAUCAGAUUUGUUAAUAGAGCAGUAUGUUCAAAACAUUUUUUAGAAAAAGAUAUUGACAGAACUUCACUUUCAACCGUUUGAGAGACUGUGCUGUUCCAAUAGCUUAUAUCACACAGAAUCAGCUGAGAGAAGUGGUCUACAAAAAACCAGGAAGGAAAUGGAAUAUGUGGCUAUGAAAGGCAAAAGAAAGGUUUACAAAGCAAAUGUGACACAUUUUUUUAUAGGAAUAUCAGUAAAUUACAUUAAAAAAAUGUAUGAAAAGAUUUUUUGCAAUAAAAAUGUUUAUAUUUAUCAAGGAUGCAUUAUUUGGUAUGGCCACAUAUCGUCAGUGAUGUGACAAUACCUCCUAUCUGUUUUUUCAUGAGAUUUGUAAGAUAGACUAAAAACUUGUUUGGGCCACCUCCUGUUUUCAUAUAUUUUUUGACUUGUUUUGCAGUAAAUUUAACUAUCUAUUUACUACAAAACAAGCCAGAACUUACGUAUGCAAACAGGAGGUGACCUUAAAAAAUGUUUUUCGUCUCCUGCAAACCUCAUGAAAAAAGAUAUAGGAGGUAUUGUCACAGCACUGACGAUAUAUUUCAGAGAAUGUCUAAAAAAUAUACUGUGAAUGUUCAAAGAACGUUCGUAGACAUUCAUGGAAUGUUCCAACAAGACAUUUAGUCUAAAAAAUAUACUGUGAAUGUCCAAAGAACAUUCAUGGAAUGUUCCAACAUUCAUGGAAUGUCCCAACAAGACAUUCAGUCUAAAAAAUAUACUGUGAAUGUCCAAAGAACAUUCAUGGAAUGUUCCAACAAGACAUUCAGUCUAAAACAUAUACUGUGAAUGUCCAAAGAACAUUCGUAGACAUUCAUGGAAUGUUCCAACAGAACAUUCUAAGAAUAUUUAAAAUGCUGACACAGCACAUUCCAGGGACUUUCCAGGGACAUUCGUGUGCAUUUGGGGACAUUCCAGGAAUGUUUGGAAUGUCCUGUGAGUACAUUCUAGGAACAUUCAUGGAAUGUUUUGUGUUAUUAGGGUAGUGUCUA